GUGAGUUCCCACUAAAAAGAAAGCCCUGCCUACAAUAAUAUCUGUGUCUGCCUACCUGUCUGCUUGCCUUCUAUUCAUGAACUGCUCUACCCGUGUAGAGGGGAGCAAAGAGGACAUAGGCAGAGUCGGCCCUACCAUUGGCUUCUGCAGCAGGAGGUGCUGAGGGAUGAGGAGCAGCAGGCAGGCAUUUGGAGCGCUAAGCUGCAGAAAAUCAGAUGAGGAAAAAAUGAAUGGCAGCAUUUCGUCCCAUAAAAACCAAGAUUUCACAAACUGGUGUGUUUUGGCUGUUGUUAACUUUUACCUCCCUGUCUCAGCUAGAAACAGGGCUAAGGUGCUUUGCCAGUUGGGGUUUCCCAAGUGCUCACAGAGUAUAUAACACAGGGCUGGAGAACUGGUG